UGUUAGAUCAAUGGUCUAUGCUAGGUUUUCACUCUCUUGCAAGUAGUAUUUCUUCUUCAGACAACAACAGGUGAUGCUCUUUAGGAAAAGAAACUAAAUCCAGCCCUUUUCUGUAGCUCAUUCUUCAUGUGCUCCACCAGCUGUUGUACCAGGGUCCUUAGCACAUAUGCAGCACAGUCCUUCUGCUACCAGUCAGUGAACUUGCCCACAAACUGGCUUAAUUUUGCUGAACCUGACAAUUUCAGUCUUCACAACCUAUUGUGAGAGCAACUUCCAAAAUUCAUCAGUAUGUACAGAAAGAAAUAUUUUCUCUUCUGAAAGAGAGAAUGAGGUAUAUAAAAAAAAAAAACUUCAGAUAUGCACUCUGUUUACAGGAGAGAGAAAAUUCCAGGCUAGACAAGAUAUGAUUGCUGCUUCCUAAAAGUAGAAUAUCUUUGUAUAGUCAGUUGAUCUAUCUCCUCAUCCUUUUCAUCUAACCUCACUUCUGUUUGUAUGCCUUGUUCAGCUACUUGAUUUCAAAGUCAAGAAUUGAUAUGCUGUGAUUAGAAGUCUUCAUAUUUAACCUGUUAUUGUAUAUCACUGCUGCUAGCUAUGGAGAAAUAAACAGCCCUUUCUGGUUUUAAUACAAGCCUAAGGAGUUGUGUUCCUCUCUAAUUUAACUCAGGGUUAUAUCUGACCUUGUUAUUGGAGUUUGAUUUUAGUUCUGCAGAUUCUUUACGCUUUUUUUUUUUUCCUGUACAGACUCAUGGUAAUUUUGUACACUCCUGUGAAAUAGCUUAAAUGAUUACCAUUUUCUCUUUGAUUCAUCUAUUAGAAGGUGAGCUUUUUUAAAGAAAGAGACUAGCUAUGGUUCCGUCCGUAAGAUGAUGUGUCAAAUUAUUUCUGUGAACCUUUCAGAAAAAUUCUUCUAGAAAAUACUUGCUCAUAAAAGUAGUUAAGAAAAUGCUGUCAGACCCAUUUUCCUACAGAAAAUGAAACUAUUAAAAUCAAAGUGCUUCCCAGAACAGUAUAGAUUUUUCCUAGUACUUUAUUUUUGGAAGAAAACAACACUAAUGACAGUUAAAAACAUCGUAAUGUUCACAGUUUGAAAUAAAAACCAAGUUAUCUUGCUUUGAAAUUCCUAUCCAUAUAUUCAGUGUAGGACUAGCUUUUAGAAGAUUAAAGUGAAACAGGUAAAAAUAUCUAGCUUUUUCAGCUAAAGGAGUGAGAUGGUAAUAAUUUUAAAUGUUGCUAUGAAUUACAAAAUAAAUUUCAAGAUCUUAAAUCUUUUUUAUUGAGUUACAGUUCUAUUUGUACAAUUAAAUUCCAGUCAGAAUUAACAUAUUUUUACCUCUUCCUCCUCUCAAUUUUCUUUUUGCCUGUUACUUAUAAUCCAUUAAGGACAAGUGCUUGAUUAGAUAUUCAGUCUUUUAGGGUAAAACAAAUAAAUAAUAAUGUGUACAAAAGACAUCCAUAUGAUCUUUAUUAUUACUUUACAUACUCAGCAGUGUCAUUCAUCUGUAUUGAACAUUUGAGCUUUUAAAAGAAAAGGCAGCAAAGAGGUUAACAAGAUGAACAUUUUUUCCUAUACCUUCUGCAUUCACAUAUUGCAGAACUCAUUUUAGACAAUGAAUCUGUCUUCCCUUUGCUUCCUCUCAUUGGUUAGAUACACCAUUUAAUGGCUCAUUUCAAAAAUAAAUCUAUCUGCUUUCCUCUCCUCAUAUAGUAAGGGCUCAUUAAAACUGGAUUUGUCUGUGGCUUUUCUUACAAGUAUCACAAUACAGGACCUCAUUUAAAUUGAAAUGCACACUCUUACUAGACUCACUUCCAAGACUUUAUACCACAUAAGGACUGAUUUUUUUAAAGGGUAAUCUUGCCAUUUUUAGUAUCUAAUAGGCCUACAUUUUGAAACACAGAAGAAACUGAAAUAACUUACUUGAUGGCAUACUGCAAUACAAGUUCUCGUCUCUUCUCUUAUAUCUCCUUUCCAUAGAAUCCUUGAUUGUUAUAUUAACGAUGCCUGAAAAGUGUCUGUCUCUCACUCAGUGAUGUUGUAAAGUCACUGACUGAAAGUUAAUAAAGUAUAAUCCGAUGAACAUUCACCUGACACACACUCCUGGGGAAUUAUCCAUAUCUAGCCUUGUCUUUUCUUAUGUUGUUCUUAUCUUUUUACUCAAAUAUCCUUUCAAUUGUUAAAUAAUUUCAUAAACAUUCCUUAUGUUCUAACGUACAACUGCUGAUCCCUUACAUCCCAAACCAAUAUUUACUGGGAUGUACGUGAGCUUGUGCUAUCCUAUGACUCCAUAAUUCCUUGCACCAUCACUGCUGUUUUGUUGUUGUUGCUGUUGUUUCUAUUGGUUUGUUAACUCAUCUUAUUUUCUUCUUAUUCUUUGAAAAAGAAAACUGCAAAAUGCCUUAAAUAAGAACAGUCAUUAGAAAAUCCCACUUCAGAAAAUCUGAAAAUGUUCUUUAAGAUGUUGCUUGAACCACCAUUUCAAUAGACAGUUCAUUUCCAAAAAAAAAACCAAAAAAAACAACACAACAAAACAAACAAAAAAACCCCUAAAGAUUAAGAUUACCAUCUUCAUUCCCCAACACACUCCUUCCUUGAAAUUUAUAUCCUUUCUUAAAAACUGCAGGCAGCUUUUGCAUAAACAAAUGGAGCAUAGUCAUUUGUUAGCAAUAAGGCUGGACAGUUCUGAAAUAUUUCUGAAGAUUUUUCCACUGCGUUCUAAACUCUGUUGUAGGGAAAGGCAAAGGUAGAUAACCAGCUCUAAAUUACCCAAAAACAGGUAAUGGCCAUAAUCCAGUUAAAGAAAUAUAGUUUUGCUUACUUAUCCCAAGGAUCAGGGCUCACCAAACACUCUGAAAAGAAAAAUCUCCAGAUAGAGAUCAUUCCCUUGGGGCAGCCAGCCCUUAAAUAAGGCUUAGGGAGGAGCCAGGUUCUAUGCCUUCUACUCAAUCAUUGGUUCAGGAUAUAACUUAGCAAUUCCCAUACACCUGUUAAUAAAGCAAUGUACAUUUCAAAUAAUACAAGAUUUGCUGCAUUAUUAUUCCUCGUUCUUGAUAUCCACAACUGUGGAAGUUAACCAGACUGCUUUUUUCCUUCAUGGCUCCCUGAGAGACAUUUAGGAAAUUCUCUCUCUGAAACAGGGAAUUUCUACCUCUAUACUGAAGAAGAAAACAUAUGGAUUGCUAGAGCAAAUAGAUUUGCAGGAAAGAAGGAACAUCAGUUAGCUCAUAAGUUUAGGAAAUAGGGACUGUGACUUAAUAAGCUUAUGGGGUAGAAUAUAUCCUCCGAGCAAACAGAUUUAUGAACACCUGCAAUGGAAGGAUUUAUGCAAACGGAUGAAAUAUUAAAAACCGUAAUGGGUGAGGAGUGUAGUAUAGGCAGAAUAACUGGGAAGAUCUAAGUUCCUAACAUGAUUUUUACAGGGAAAUGAAUAGAUUUCAGUAAAUGGAUACAGAAAGUUAAGAUGGAUAAAUGCAUAUAAAUUGAUAUAUACAUAUCUAUCUAUGCAUGUUUAUGCAUAUGCAUACCCCAAACACUUUUGUGAGCAAAAGAAAACACCCUAGGUAUACAUGGAAUUGACAGUUUAUUGUUAGCUUAAUCAAAAGCUUAGCAGUCUAAAUGGAAUAUCUCACAAUUUUCUCCUGUCCAGCUAGGAUAAAUCUAUCACUCAGCACUCAAAUUAAUAUAUCGCAUAAUCAAUAGAACCUUUAAAGCUUGUCAUGAAAGAAAAUUUUCCAGUAUUUACUUCUGUUUUACUGUUGUUAUGCUGACUUACCAAUGUGGCUUUGGAUCCUGACGGCAGUGGUGCCAUGAAUGGGAAAGAAAGCUGUUAACAGGAGUCUUCAACCAGAUCUGCAGAGAAUCAUGGUAUUUAUUCACAGAGCUCUUCAGGGCUUGUAAGGGAUUAUUGUUUUGCAUCAUUGUCUCAAAGCUUGCUGAGGGUCACAGAUGAACAAGUCCAAACAAGUCCUGAUCAAGGUUUGAGAAGUCCUUUGUCUGGAGGACACAGGUGGACCAGUCUUGGGCAGGGGGUGCAAAAUCCUUUGUCUGAGGGACACAGAUGGACAAGGCCGAGGGCAACGAGAGAGAGAUUCCUCAUGAAGAGGUGUUUCUGACAACAGAUUCCUCGUGCUGAAGAAGAGAGAGGGUUUCUGACAGAUUCCUCGCGACCCGAGACCUGCAUGCUGAAGAACAAGAAGUUGUUGUUUGCUCCCUUCUGGACUUGCUCUGCACUCUACCUGCUUGCUUCCUAAGGCUGGCCUUCUGCUACUGCUCUCCCCCCAAGGUGUCUGCCAUCAGAUCCCUCACUAAGGAAGGUCUGCAUGCUGACGGACUCUCCAGGGCCUGCUUCUUCCUCCCGGAGUUCUUCCUGAACCUACCUGAUAACUGCACAUUCUUGCUGCCCAAGACUGGCCACGCUACUGCUGCUCUUCCCAUGCUCUUUUGCCCUGGACCGUCGGAACGUCGUGCAACGGGACCGUUGCUGGAUCCUGGUGGUGACUAUCCCUGCUUUACGCAAUUCUUGCCUCUUUCUAUCUUUUCUAUCGCCUGCCUUCCCUUGUUGUAGAUUCUUGUGACAAAACCAGACAAAGUCUAGUGCGAUAAAGGGACAGCUUUAUUCAAUUAAGCAUGGCGGUUAAGUGAGCAAAACAGCGCUGGGCGGGCGGCCGAGGGGAGUUUACACUCCACCAGGGUCGCAAUUUGAACAAAGGAUUGGCUCUGCAUUUAUACUAUUCUUAUCUCCUGUAUACAUUCCAGUCAUUCUUGUACGUAUACAAUUCUUAUCUCCUGCAUACAUUCCAGUCAUUCUUGCGGCUGCGCAGGUUGUUGCUGGGGGAUUCAUUUUCCUGCCUCCUGAUGGUUGUGGGGAUGAAAGUCAGUAGUCUUUUCCAUUAUUCUUUGGUUAUUUUCUAGCAGCUUAUGUGCCCCGGGCCUGCAGCUUCUUAGUUUCCGUCGUUUACAACACUAUUUACAUUUUACAACACUAUUUACAUUCCCGGAGACCUGAGAUAGCACCACUGAGUUUUGAUUUGACUAACAAACUUAACCCUUACCUAUCACAGUUGCUGGAUCCUGGUGGUGACUAUCCCCGCUUUACGCAAUUCUUGCCUCUUUCUAUCUUUUCUAUCACCCGCCUUCCCUUCCCUAUCACCCUAAAUCAUCUGUCCUCCCCUUCCCCAUCUCCCUGAUUAAGAUUUGUAAUAAACUUGUCG
ensembl:lncRNA